rnacentral:rRNA from 1 species
UACGUAGGGUGCGAGCGUUGUCCGGAAUUAUUGGGCGUAAAGGGCUCGUAGGCGGUUUGUCGCGUCGGGAGUGAAAACCUUGGGCUUAACUCAGGGCUUGCUUUCGAUACGGGCAGACUAGAGGUAUGCAGGGGAGAACGGAAUUCCUGGUGUAGCGGUGAAAUGCGCAGAUAUCAGGAAGAACACCGGUGGCGAAGGCGGCUCUCUGGGCCUUACCUGACGCUGAGGAGCGAAAGCGUGGGUAGCGAACAGG